GACAAAUCAUACCACAUUGAGAGAUAAGACAUUUUUACAAUUAAAUCUAGUAAAGUGAAAAAUUUGAGACAGUUAAAUGGGGAGGAAAAAGUAUCUUGUCUUAGGGAGGGAUAACGAGGAUAAGGAUAUAUCAUAUUUUUCUACCAAGUAUCAUCAGUGACGUGCUGGACAUCAGAUCAAUGUAUCAUAUGACAUAUUUUUUGUCAGUAUGCAUGUUCAAAAUGUCUACAAAAUCAUUCAUAUAAUAUUUGGGAUUGUCUGCUACAGUAGAAUGGUCUUUAGCAACAUCGGAAAAGUUUGACAAUUGUCCGGUAGGUCAGCAAAGAAUUGAACGUCAGAGGGAUUUAUGCGACAAUGCAACAUUGUACCAUUGCAUUUCUGAUGCUAACUGUCAACUUCAUCAAUUUUGUGCUGAUCCACAAGAAUCACAACCAAUGGACACACUCUUUAUAUUCAGUGGUUCGACACGUAAUGAACCUAUAGUGAAUUUUCCAUCCACGAAUACGGAGUUGUAUGGGGAUUUAAGCUUGUUCUUCUGCAAGUACUCUUCAAGGAAAACUUUAAACGAAUUAUUUCAAACCAUCCUUAAACGACUAGAUACUAAUGCUAAUAUAAUUAAUUCAUUCAAAGUACCUUGCAUAUUUCCUGACGAUGAACAUGUACUACCUACAUUGGAUAGUUGUGAGAUGAAAUUUAAAUGCGGUAAAACCAGAAAAGUGAUGGACUUCAAACUAUUAGUAUUUCACAAUAGAAAAUUGAUAUCCCACGGUUUUGAAAUGGGUAUGUCAAAUCGAAAGGAUUUUUAUAAAGUAGGGUUUUUACUAUGUGUUUUGAAUAAUGAGAAAUUUUAUGAUUACAUAUUGGAAUUAGAAAGCAGCCCUCCAAACAAAGGCUCUGUCACGAAUGGUCCAAGUGAUGAACUGUCUCUCUAUGGAAUAAUCGCUGGUUUCCUUGUGCAUUUAAUUUUAUGAGAGAGACAACUAAAUAUCACAACUUUAAACAAUAAACAUUACAUAUAUAAACACAACUAUUUUUUUUCAUGUUCUCUUUUCGCAUGCGUGACAACGACUCUCUCCUAAAAUCAAAAGUCUUUCAUUUCUGUUGUUUAAAACUUUGCUGAAGCAUUUGGUGUAAAUAUUUAAUUGGUGCGGAUUUGUAUUUAUUUGACUAAAUGUUUAAAUAAUUUAUUUGUAAAUGUUAUGGAAAUUUGGGUUUUUUCAGGUUCUGCUGAAAAAUAAGUUUUGAUUAAUACGGCAACAUCUUGGAAUGCAAAUUAGUAAUUUAUUUAUUUUAUUGAUAUAAUUGAUAUAAUUAAGUAUGAUGGUGAAUAAGUAUUGUGACGCAGCAUUUAUAUAUUAAUUUAUUUGAGAAGUUGAGAUCUUUUUACACAUUUAUAAUUGUUUACUAUUGUAGUAUGUGUAUAUUUUAUACAUUAUAACUUAUUAUAUUCAGUAUAUGACUAUUUAGGCUAUGAUAACUCUCCGUGGAGAAAGAUCAACAUUACUGCAUUCUUUUACUUUUACAUUUUAUAUUUAUUUAAAAAGUUUUCUGUCGGUUAAUUGCUGUAAUUUCUCAAAGUUUUGUUGAGUGUAAAAAUUAAUGUCAACUUAUAAUACUGAAGUUAUAUUGCUUAUUUUAGUUUACAUAUUGUACAAUAUAUUAUAACGUUUUAGAUAGUCUUUCAUACACAUGCAACUCUUUUUAGAGUAGCUUUUGUAUGUUUUAUGAUUAUGUUUUAUUAAAUAUUGGUAUGUUUUUAAAAAAAGUAUUGUUUUAGCUUGUGUUGAUAAUAAUAAAAUCAAUUCUGGUGCUAAAAUUAUUAAAUCUGUGUGUAGACGAACAAGUUGUUAAAUGGAUAUUCAGCUAUUAAUGUAGAUCAAGUAGUGUUUUUCGGGGCGCAUUGCAUUUGCGCCAUUUAAAAAAAAAAAUCCAAUCUUUCAUUAGCACCACAAGGUUAUAUUUCAUUUGCGCCAAAAUAUAAAAACUGCAUUUGCGCCAUUUCACAGGUAAUGCAGGUACAUGUAACAUAUAACGGAAAAGUUAAAUAAUCAUUGCUGUAUCGUGAAUAAGAUUUGUUUCUACAGUAUUUCUCCUGGACUAUUGUUCAAACUCAUUUCUAAUACAAAACUGAGGUUUAGAAUUAUAAAGUGUUCACAUGUUUGAGGUGUAUGGACAUUGUCAUGUCAGAGACAAACAGAGGAAAUAAGUCUGUAUUUUUUAUGAUCACCCGUACGGUUAUGACGGUAUAAAGCUUAUCAUAUAUAUAUGCAUCAUAUAAAAAAUAGUUUAGGUGUACCAUAAAACUUGCAAAGCCAGCAUAACAACGGACAGAAAUAUAGUUUUACUAUAGCUAUAGUGUAUAAUGCUUAGAACUGCAUGUCUCGUAAUUUUACUCCUUUUUAGAUAUGUUCAAAGUAACUGAACUGUGUUUUAACUAAGUUUUAACAUAACUUGUAUGGUUUUAUGAUGACUGAUUUCUGAGGAAUAUGCUUUAUAACGCAAAAAAGCCUUUAUACAAUUUACCUGUAUUAUUGGCGCGAAUGAAAGUUUAUAUUUUUGGCGCAAAUGAAAUAUGGUUUGUGGCGCAAAUGAAAUAUUUUUUUUGCGCAAAUGAAAUGCCAAUCGGCGCAAAAGCAAAGUACCGGUUUUUCGCUAUCUUUGAUUAUAAAAGAACAGAACACAAUCUGUAUUUAAAUGGUAAAAGUAAAAAUUUAGAGAUAAGAAUAUAAUUGGCCUGUAAUACUGUUGAAGAAAGUUGUUAGUUAUAUGUAAUUUUUUCUGUUUUUUUUCUCACAAAUACUGAUGCAAUUUUCUUUCCAUUAUUUUUUUUAACUUUGCAAUACUUUGCUUUUUUAUUAUCUCUGUCCUGCCUUUUUUCACUCUAUUCGGUCCAGCCUUUUUUGACAAGUUUAUCCUGAUUUGUUUUACAUAGAUUGUUAUUCUGCUUUUUUUUUUGCAAAGUAUCACAUCCUGACUUUGUUUUACUCAAAACUCCUGUCCUGCUUUUUUUCAAAUUUCAUCGUAGUCCAUCCUUUCCCCCAUAUUGAUAAAACGGUAACUCCCUUACAUAUUCUGACAUCGGACACGGACUUCUCUUAAACUGAGUUUAACUGUGCGUAUUGCAGUUUUUUUCUACAUUGGUUAUAGGUAUAGGGGAUGGAGUGAGAUCUUAUUAAACAUGUUUAACCCUGCUGCAUUUUUGCGCCUGUCCCAAGUCAGGAGCCUCUGUCCUUUCUUAGUCUUGUAUGCUUGUUUUUAAAAUUUAGUUCAUUUACAUGUUUUGAAGCUUUUAAAUAUGACAUCCAUUUUCACUGAUGAACUAGUACACAUUUUUGUUUAGGGACCAGGUGAAGUUCGCCUACGGAUACGGGAUUUUCUGGCUGUGUUUAAGACCAAUUUGUGGCCUUCAUUUUUUAACUCUAUGUUUCGGUUUUGUCUCUAACACAUGUCCGUUUCCAUUCUCAAUUUUAUACUAAAAAUAUAAAGAUUACGGCAAUGAAGAAGACCCCUUCCAAACCCUCAUAAAUACAAAAACUGUUUAAGUAGAUACAAACAUUUUAUUUGUCUCAAUAUGAUGUUAUGAAAUAAAUAUUUUAGAAAAAAAUGUUUUAGCAUGAAGUGCUGACAACCGGGAAGAAAUUGAAGAAAAAUUAUAUUUCUUUUCAGUUUGUCCAUUCCAUGUCUUAUUGAGAGAUACGUUUUAAUUUUUUUUAAAUAAAACAUAUUCUAAUUAUAUUAAGUUGCAUUCACUUAUAUCAUUACUCACAGCAUAAGUAUGUUCAUAUUAUUGAGCUUCAGUUCGUCAGUCAUAUAUAUGUAAAUCGCUUCAUUAAUAAAACAUGUCUUUAUAAA